rnacentral:tRNA from 1 species
AGUGAAAUGGCUGAGGUAAGGCACUAGACUGUAGAUCUAGCUACGAGGACAACCCUCUUUCACUA